rnacentral:rRNA from 1 species
UCAGGGGGCACCUGAUGGGCGACGCCGCGUGGGGGAUGAAGGUCUUCGGAUUGUAAACUCCUGUCAUUGGGGACUAAUGGCCAGGCUCAUACCCUGGUUUGAAUUAACCCAAAGAGGAAGCAGUGGCUAACUCUGUGCCAGCAGCCGCGGUAAUACAGAGACCGCAAGCGUUACUCGGAUUCACUGGGCGUAAAGGGAGCGCAGGCGGGCUGGUGUGUCAGGCGUGAAAUCUCGGGGCUCAACCCCGAGGCUGCGCCCGAAACUACCAGUCUAGAGACUUGGAGGGGUAAGCGGAAUUCUUGGUGGAGCAGUGAAAUGCGUAGAUAUCAAGAGGAACACCAACGGCGAAGGCAGCUUACUGGACAAGAUCUGACGCUCAGGCUCGAAAGCGUGGGGAGCAAAAGGGAUUAGAUACCCCUGUAGUCCACGCUGUAAACGGUGCGCAUUAGGUCUCGGAGCUUUCGAACGCUUCGGGGCUCAAGCUAACGCAUUAAAUGCGCCGCCUGAGGACUACGGCCGCAAGGCUAAAACUCAAAGGAAUUGACGGGGGCCCGCACAAGCGGUGGAGCAUGUGGCUUAAUUCGAUGCAACGCGAAGAACCUUACCUAGGUUUGACAUGGACGUGGUACCCGGGGCGAAAGCUUUGGGGACCCGCAAGGGAGCGUCACAGGUGCUUGCAUGGCUGUCGUCAGCUCGUGUC